UACAGAGGGUGCAAGCGUUAAUCGGAAUUACUGGGCGUAAAGGGCGCGUAGGCGGCCUUCUAAGUCGAACGUGAAAUCCCCGGGCUCAACCCGGGAACUGCGUCCGAGACUGGAAGGCUCGAAUCCGGGAGAGGGAUGUGGAAUUCCAGGUGUAGCGGUGAAAUGCGUAGAUAUCUGGAGGAACAUCGGUGGCGAAGGCGGCAUCCUGGACCGGUAUUGACGCUGAGGCGCGAAAGCCAGGGGAGCAAACGGG
rnacentral:rRNA from 1 species